rnacentral:misc_RNA from 1 species
UUUCCGUAGGUGAACCUGCGGAAGGAUCAUUACCGAGUGAGGGCCCUCUGGGUCCAACCUCCCACCCGUGUUUACUAUACCUUGUUGCUUUGGCGGGCCCGCCUCACGGCCGCCGGGGGGCUUCUGCCCCCGGGCCCGUGCCCGCCGAAGACACCUUAGAACUCUGUCUGAAGAUUGUAGUCUGAGUAAAAAUAUAAAUUAUUUAAAACUUUCAACAACGGAUCUCUUGGUUCCG